AGUGAACGCUGGCGGUAGGCCUAACACAUGCAAGUCGAACGGCAGCACAGUAAGAGCUUGCUCUUACGGGUGGCGAGUGGCGGACGGGUGAGGAAUACAUCGGAAUCUACUUUUUCGUGGGGGAUAACGUAGGGAAACCUACGCUAAUACCGCAUACGACCUACGGGUGAAAGCAGGGGAUCUUCGGACCUUGCGCGAUUGAAUGAGCCGAUGUCGGAUUAGCUAGUUGGCGGGGUAAAGGCCCACCAAGGCGACGAUCCGUAGCUGGUCUGAGAGGAUGAUCAGCCACACUGGAACUGAGACACGGUCCAGACUCCUACGGGAGGCAGCAGUGGGGAAUAUUGGACAAUGGGCGCAAGCCUGAUCCAGCCAUACCGCGUGGGUGAAGAAGGCCUUCGGGUUGUAAGCCCUUUUGUUGGGAAAGAAAAGCAGCAGGUUAAUACCCCGCUGUUCUGACGGUACCCAAAGAAUAAGCACCGGCUAACUUCGUG
rnacentral:rRNA from 1 species